GGGAAUCUACCUUUUGCUACGGAAUAACUCAGGGAAACUUGUGCCAAUACCGUAUGUGCCCUUCGGGGGAAAGAUUUAUCGGCAAAGGAUGAGCCCGCGUUGGAUUAGCUAGUUGGUGGGGUAAAGGCCCACCAAGGCGACGAUCCAUAGCUGGUCUGAGAGGAUGAUCAGCCACACUGGGACUGAGACACGGCCCAGACUCCUACGGGAGGCAGCAGUGGGGAAUAUUGGACAAUGGGCGCAAGCCUGAUCCAGCCAUGCCGCGUGAGUGAUGAAGGCCCUAGGGUUGUAAAGCUCUUUCACCGGUGAAGAUAAUGACGGUAACCGGAGAAGAAGCCCCGGCUAACUUCGUGCCAGCAGCCGCGGUAAUACGAAGGGGGCUAGCGUUGUUCGGAUUUACUGGGCGUAAAGCGCACGUAGGCGGACUUUUAAGUCAGGGGUGAAAUCCCAGAGCUCAACUCUGGAACUGCCUUUGAUACUGGAAGUCUUGAGUAUGGUAGAGGUGAGUGGAAUUCCGAGU
rnacentral:rRNA from 1 species